GAUGAACGCUGGCGGCGUGCCUAAUACAUGCCAGUCGAGCGAACGGACGAGAAGCUUGCUUCUCUGAUGUUAGCGGCGGACGGGUGAGUAACACGUUGAUAACCUACCUAUAAGACUGGGAUAACUUCGGGAAACCGGAGCUAAUACCGGAUAAUAUUUUGAACCGCAUGGUUCAAAAGUGAAAGACGGUCUUGCUGUCACUUAUAGAUGGAUCCGCGCUGCAUUAGCUAGUUGGUAAGGUAACGGCUUACCAAGGCAACGAUGCAUAGCCGACCUGAGAGGGUGAUCGGCCACACUGGAACUGAGACACGGUCCAGACUCCUACGGGAGGCAGCAGUAGGGAAUCUUCCGCAAUGGGCGAAAGCCUGACGGAGCAACGCCGCGUGAGUGAUGAAGGUCUUCGGAUCGUAAAACUCUGUUAUUAGGGAAGAACAUAUGUGUAAGUAACUGUGCACAUCUUGACGGUACCUAAUCAGAAAGCCACGGCUAACUACGUG
rnacentral:rRNA from 1 species